rnacentral:lncRNA from 1 species
UCUUACAUCAGGAACUUCCAUAGAAAAUGAUAGAUAUUUGUUCAUGUCUUUAACAUUAAACAUUCAGGUAGUGCUACCAAAAUCACCUUUUUUUUUUUUUCUUUUUUUUUUUUUUUAACUGUCUGUAAGAAAUCAAGGAGAUUACAUAAAUGUAAGCUAAAUUACCACCUGGGGUUACAGAUUUUGGCAUUUAAUAUUCUGAGUGUAUGAAACAGACAAGUUUAUGUGCUGUCAUAAAAGAGGAACAUCUUGUUUUUGCAUAAAGCUAACUGUGAUUGUUGUCUGAUCAUGUUCAGACAAGUAGCCUUUAGGUAAUACCAACUGUGAAAUGUCACUUGUUACACUCACUGAGCCUGGUUUACAUGUAUCAUGAAGAUGAAGAUGUUAUGAUAAAGUUGGCAAAAAGGAGAGAACAACUUGUAGCUUAAUCAACUUUUGGUCAUAGUAGACUGGUCCACAAGAAAACUCCUGUUUCCCCAGUUAAAGGAUGAAUUUAAUAACCUUGGCUGGGUGAAGAAAUGAGCAUAUCAGCCAUGGAAAAAAAUCAUACCAAAGAUGCAGUGAGUGAAGGUGAUGGUCCUGGGACCACCACUGCUGGCUUUGUUCUAGCUGUUGGCUUUAGGGACAUGACAGAACUUUUGCUCAGUUUGAUGCAAUAAAAAGAAGAAGAUAGCCCUUAUAAGGCCUGGUGUUCCUCCUUUGCCAUUCUAAUUAUUAUUUAAACAAAGAUAAAAGUUAUGGAGUUGGAGAGUAUUUUGUCAUUUAAUAAUUUAGCAGUUCAUGCUGAAGUCUCCUUUAUGUUCUUUCUGUUUUUAUGCAGGCACCCUAGAAGAUGGACAUUUGACAGGCCACAAUAGACUGCUCCUUUCCCAGGCUUUCUCUGAAACCUAGUCAUAUUGAGGGCAGCCCGGCUCAACUUGGAAAGCUCUGAGGAGUUCUGUGAAAGGUGGUUCAGAUGUAUGUCAGUAGACAGUGCCGAUAAAUGCUCUUCCAGCCUGAUCCUGUUCGAUCUGAUGUACAAACAGAUGCAAAAGAUAGCACUGUCUUUAGUAAAUGACUUGGAAAGUCAUUUUAGUCAUGAAAGAUUCCAAGAUGAAGCAUAUGUCAAGGCACACAAAAAUUUCUGAGCCAGAGACAGAAAAAGCUGUGGGCCACGGGCUCAGGAAGUUGAAUGGAUCUGAAUCUCAUAAAUGAAAUCACAGUAUUUUGGAAGUGAUGAGAGGGGAGAGGUUAAGAAAUUGUGUCCUGUAAUUAUCAUAUCAGCUUCCUGAUGAAUAUGUUACAAAAAAUGUUUCUUUUCUUCAUAUUUCAUCUGAAACCUGUGAGCUUGAAUUUGAAAGGGCUGAUUAUUCUGUUCUCUAUGAAUCAUUUAAGC